GACGAACGCUGGCGGCGUGCCUAAUACAUGCAAGUCGAGCGAAGCGGAGGUUGGGUGAGUAACGCGUGGGUAACCUGCCUUUAAGUCUGGGAUACCAUUUGGAAACAGAUGCUAAUACCGGAUCCUAAAGGAGGAACCUGCGUUGCAUUAGCUAGUUGGUAAGGUAACGGCUUACAAAGGCGAGGAUGCAUAGCCGAGUUGAGAGACUGAUCGGCCACAUUGGGACUGAGACACGGCCCAAACUCCUACGGGAGGCAGCAGUAGGGAAUCUUCCACAAUGGACGAAAGUCUGAUGGAGCAACGCCGCGUGAGUGAAGAAGGUUUUCGGAUCGUAAAGCUCUGUUGUUGGUGAAGCGGUAAUCAACCAGAAAGUCACGGCUAACUACGUGCCAGCAGCCGCGGUAAUAC
rnacentral:rRNA from 1 species